GAGGGUAUAGCUCAGUGGUAGAGUGCGUGCUUAGCAUGCAUGAGGUCAUGGGUUCAAUCCCCAGUACCUCCA
rnacentral:tRNA from 1 species